UGAAGACAGAUUAAUACACAGAGUAUUCCUAUUGACAGGCAUCCCUGGAUUGAAAAAGGUCGGAAGCUUCAGGUGGUCAAGUUAGUGCCAGGCGCCACGUCCAGAGUCAGUGAGUGACCAUGUCUGCCCUAGCCCCGCUCUGGGCUCUGAUCCUCCCAUGUCUCCUCUCCUUCACCCUGGAACCCAGGCCAGCAGUAGAAGCCAGUGUCC
rnacentral:lncRNA from 12 species